AGUGAACGCUGGCGGUAGGCCUAACACAUGCAAGUCGAACGGCAGCACAGUAAGAGCUUGCUCUUACGGGUGGCGAGUGGCGGACGGGUGAGGAAUACAUCGGAAUCUACCUUUUCGUGGGGGAUAACGUAGGGAAACUUACGCUAAUACCGCAUACGACCUACGGGUGAAAGCAGGGGAUCUUCGGACCUUGCGCGAUUGAAUGAGCCGAUGUCGGAUUAGCUAGUUGGCGGGGUAAAGGCCCACCAGGGCGACGAUCCGUAGCUGGUCUGAGAGGAUGAUCAGCCACACUGGAACUGAGACACGGUCCAGACUCCUACGGGAGGCAGCAGUGGGGAAUAUUGGACAAUGGGCGCAAGCCUGAUCCAGCCAUACCGCGUGGGUGAAGAAGGCCUUCGGGUUGUAAAGCCCUUUUGUUGGGAAAGAAAAGCAGCAGGUUAAUACCCCGCUGUUCUGACGGUACCCAAAGAAUAAGCACCGGCUAACUUCGUG
rnacentral:rRNA from 1 species